AAAUUAAUUCAAGAUUCAGAGAAGCCUUUGUGGCCAGGAUGUGAAUUGUCUCAGCUUUCCUUACUUGCACUUUUGUUCAAUACAAAAUCCAUGAACAAAUGGUCUGAUAAGUCAUUUGGAGAUCUACUUAAUAUUCUGCACAUGGCUAUUCCAAAUGGAAAAGCUCUGGCCCAAAAUUUUUACGAGGCCAAGAAGAUCAUAUCGAAGUUUGGAUUAGGAUAUCAGAAAAUUCAUGUCUGCCCAAAUAACUGUCAGUUGUUCUGGAAAGAGACAGAAAAUGAUGAUUUUUGCUCUAAAUGCAAGGCUUCUAGGUGGAAAGAUAAAAUGCCCGAAACCAAGUUAACUAAAAAGGAAAGAAAGAGAGCUACGCCAAUGAAAGUUCUGAGAUACUUUCCAAUCAAAGAGUGGCUGAAAAGGAUAUUCAUGUGCAAAGAAACAGCAACUCUAGCUCGAUGGCAUGAUGAAGGGCGCACCAAGCAGCAUGGA
rnacentral:rRNA from 1 species